rnacentral:rRNA from 1 species
CCGUCCGUCUCGGGCCGCGAGCCCUCGCG